GAGGAGCGGCGCGGGGCGAGCGGCGCGGGGCCGAGCCGCCAUGUCGCGGCGGUGAGGGGCGGGCUGCGGCGCGGCUGCUGCUCCUUGCUCUGCCUUCCCCUCCGCGGCCGCCUCCGCCCCCGCUGGCGCUCACUGGAGGCCGGCAGACAUGGCAGGAAGGGAGGUUGUCCCCAGGAAAGCACCAGAGGGGUGGAGGGGCGCAGCGGUAUCAGCCAUGGUUGGCUCCGCUCCGGGGACGGCCCAGGAGCAGCCCUCGGUGGCUAGGAACGAGGUUUGAUUCUUUAGGAAGACGCCCGUGCACCAGAGAAGCAGGUUGCACGGCUACAGGAACAGUUCCCAUCAGAGCCCGGCGUGCAGGGAUGAAAACACUGAAAUGAUGGCAGACUUGCUGCAAAGAUGAGCUGGUUUCAGGGUCUCUGGGAAGAGGACAAGCAACAAGGAAGAUUAUUUUUCUUUACACAUGAGGAGCGCCUUCAGAAUGGGUUUAAUUGUCUGAGGAUCCAGUGAGGGAAGGUGGUUUUUAUUUGCCCACCAGAUCAUCUUUUCUGCAACUAACUUUAUGUCGCUGGAUGAGUUCUGAAGACACUAAAGGAGACAAAGAUGGACUUAAAUUCAAAUACAUCAAGGACAGCUAUUUAAAGCAGUAGUUUAAUGUAAGUAUUUUAAUAACAAGAAAAACAAAGCUUUCAACUCACAGGGACACAAAAGAUAAACUUGCUACGAGCAAGUUUGACUGAAUUAUGUGACAGUAAGAGAAGAUAAAGACAUAUUUUCAAAGGAAAAGCUCUACAAAUGUGGUUGCCACCAAGGUCACAUGUUUCUGUUAACUGCCUCAGGAAACAACAAUGACCACGAAGGGCAGCCAAAGCUGAUGGUGCUAGCACCUCUGCAAAACACCCCCGCAGCCAAGUCAGUCUCUGGUUGCAGGUAGAGUGGGCUUCCUUUUAAAAUUAAACUCAAGUUUUGUAUUUUUUAUCUCAUCUCAACACAUUCAAAACAUGAAAGCUAAUGUCUGAACGUCACCUGCAUUCUAAGUACUGUCACAAAGGUAUUGUGACAUUUUAAUACGCUAUUAUGUUACAAAUUGAUACAUAAAUGUGGGAUUUCCAGCAGUGCUUUGAGGAGUGAUGCCCUGUGUCAUGCCAACCUGCACGUUUUGUAGUUGUUUUCAAAUUGAAAUGUAAAAGCUAAAAAUGUAACACAUUUGUACUUAAAAUAAAGGUGACAGACGAAAGCAAAA